UCUCUUUUCAACUCUGGCAUGACCUCAUGGGAGUCAGGACGGCAGUUAUUACCUUAGGUCAGCACCACGGUCUGGCCAGGUGGGCCACCUCCUUCCGGCAGAGAUCCAGCCUGCAGACCAUCUCAGCCCCCAGGGAGCACACUGAGACCCACGGCUUUAGAAUUUGGGCCAGAAAGAGGACGCUGGAGGGAGAGCUUCACAGACAGCCGGCAAAGCACUAGGGAGAAGGCAUCAAUCUCUCAUAAAAUGGAAGCCUGCCCGCUUCCGAUCUCCAAUCAAACCGAGGAGACAGAAGAGGCAGCUGUCGCCAAGCUGCUGCAGCUCCGGAAUCAUUGUUGAGUAAUUGCCCGGUACUUCAAGUCCGGGAUGGGGGCUCUUUAGGCAAUAUUUCAUGGGAGAGAUCUCGAGCCCUCAUCAGGACAAGAAAUAUGGUUGUUAAACAGGCGGCUAAUGGUAUCCCAUUCAUCUGGUAACAAAUCUGUGAGCUUCAUUAAGCUGACCCGCCCGGCCUCAGAAGAGGGACGCAGAAUUAGCCAGAAGGAAGAGGUUGUGAAGAGGAAUCCCCAGCGAGCGCAUCUGCCCAGCACCCCCCAAAGAUCACCAAAUCCCAUUGUUCAAUUCCCACCCGGGGCCGCCACUCCUCCCACCCCCAAACCCAGAAAGCUGCUCUGCAAAAAAGCUGCACAAUCAACGUGACCUCUGGGUAAUCAAAAAAUCAAGAACAAACUUGCCUCAUCAGGAAGAAGCUGGGCACCUACCUGCCCUGGGAAAUCUAUAUGUAAAUUCAGGCAGAUCUGCGGUCUUCCUGGUACAUCAGGCUUGGUCUCCAGCCAGGUCCCAAGCUGAGGUAAGACAAAGCCGGCAGCAGAUUGUGGUGCAGACCAGGAACUGUCAGGAUGUGGGGUCUCGGUUUGGGCGGGGCAGGGGAGGAAGGUCAAAGUUUCUUCCCAAAGCCGCGUCGAAUGGUCUCUGCUUUGUCCCGGAGAGCCCCAAUCUGCUGCUCACUUUUUGAUCCUUAAAACUGUAAUGGACACUUGAAAAAAAAGAAAAGAAAAGAACACGCAUGGAAGAAAAUCAGAUCGGGGGCACCUGAGCGGCUCAGACAGUCAAGCAUCCGACUCUUGAUUUCGGCUCAGGCCGUGAUCUCACAGUUCAUGGAAUCGAGCCCCAAGACAGGCUCCGUGCUGAUGGUACAGAGCCUGCGUGGGAUUCUCUCUCUCCCUCUCUCUCUGCCCCUCCUCCACUCUCUCUCUGUCUCUCACUCUCAAAAAUAAACAUUUAAAAGACAAGAAAAGAAAAAUCUUUUCAGAUAACGCAAAGCAACUAUUUCCACAGCUGGGGCAAUUCCUCCGCCGUGCAUUUUGGUCGUGCGUCACUAUUUAAGUCACUGGGUCACUGGCCACUCCCAGUGCCCCUGUGCUUGGAGGCAUGUGGCCUGCCUCCGUCCUUGAUGUCGUUUUACAUUCAGCACGACUCAGCAAGGCCGUGCGACCCUCCCCUCUCAGUGGUUCGCUGUGAACAAGGUUUGUUUUUAGCUCGUGCUGAAAGCCCGUCACAGAUCGGCUACAGCCGGGCCCCAGGAGACGGUGGAGGCAGAGACUGGAGGCAGGGGACGCCAGGAGCUGGAAGAGGUCUUCCCUAGAGCCCUCAGAGGGGGCACAGCCCUGUGACACCCUGAUUUCUGACUUCUGGUCUCCAGAACUGACCCAGGCUGAGGGAGCAGCCUCUCCCCAGACCACUGGGGUUUUCAUCAAAGGGAAAGAAAACAAGGCACCAAGUAUGAGCUGGUUCUCAGAGUUGCACACAAAAGCGAC